UUUUUUUUUUUUUUUAAUGGCAACCUGUCUUAGAGUGCUCAAGAAACCAGAAGCCUCAGAUAACUCAUGCUUAGGCCAGGGUAAUGUACAGUAAGAAGUCACCUCUGUGGUAUGAGGAAAGGGUCUGGGUAUGAGGGAGGAAGGCUGUCUGAGACAGCCUUCAGUGCUUUCUAAGAGGAGCUGUUUGUCAGAUUAUGUCCCCCCCCCCAUCACCUCUCUCACCUCCACCCACCCCAUGAUGAUAUCUUUUCUCUGCAAAGGAUAAAUCAAAAGUAAAUAUGGUAACAUGUUAGUUUGUGUGAACCCAGUUGUGGUGUCUCAUAGUAUCUUCUAUACUUCUUUGAAUGCAUGAAGUAUUAUAAAAAUUCAGAUGAUUUUCCACUUUGGGGAGGUAAUCAGAAUUUUCAACAAAUGGUAUGCACAGUAAUAUUUCUCUAGUAUUUAUCAGAGAGGAAGACAAAAAAGGAAAGAAACUUUAAGCGUCAAUAGUGAGGCUCAGGGAAUCGUAAGUUCCCACUCUGUGGAAUAUUAUGUAGUCACUAAAAGGACUGCAGACAAAACAGAACUAAACAGAACAAAAAAUGUAUAUGCAACAUAAACAAAAUAUGCUAGAAUGUCAGCAUGACUGCCUAGAAAUUGCACAAUGAUAACAGUUAACAUUUACUAUGUACAUAGUAGGUUUUAUUUUAUGUCGUUUAUGUACGUGAAUUUACACAGUUCUCAGAACAAAUCUAUGAUUAAAAACUAUUAUUAUCCCCAUUUUAUGGAUGAGAAAACAGAGAAACAAAGAAAUUAAGCAAUUUGUCAAAGGGUAUACUGCUAGGAAGUGCCACGAAUGGGAUCUGAGCCUAGGCAAUAGGCUCUAGAAGAUGGUCUUAACCACGCUGCUAUACUACCUCCCAUAAAUAGGCUAAUAAUCACAAUGGGUACCAACUGUUAUGGCCAGAAAUCAUCUCAGUUAACCCCCACAACAAUCCUGUGGGUAGAAAUCAUUAAUUCCACUUAAAAAAAUGAAAAACUCAUCAGAGAGAGGUCUACGUAAUACACCCAAAAAACACAAAGCCAGAGGCUGAGAAAUCACAGCCCAUGCCCUAAUCAUGACACUACAUGCUCUCUGCUUUCCUAAUAAACCUUCUACAAUGAUGAGCACAUAUUACUUUAAUUAAAAUUUUUUUCAAAACCAGAAAGACAGAAGUUCAAAAGAAAAGGUACUUUUCACAAUCGAAAAAUGUAAUGUAAUAAAACAUUUUAGAUAAAAAAAACAAACUCUAAAUUCCCAUUUUAUAGCUUUCCAUUAAGUCUUCUUUCACAUUCCUUUCUCACAUCACUGUAAGAGACUAUAUACAACUAUCACCAAGAAGCAAUUUUGACCAGCAACACUGGGAAAGGGCAACAUUUCUUUAUAGGAUUGGUUGUAUACACCCACUGCCAUUGGCAGUUCACAUCUAGAAUUCAAUUUAAUGGAAUGACCAAUGAUUUUCUCUCCAAGCUAUCCGAGUUGUGUCUCAUUACCCAUUAGUGACCAAGAAUUACUAAUCACUGGGUGAGCUGAAAGCCAUACACACAGGAACGUGACACAACAGCCUCCUGCUUCUUUGGGGAAUAUUGUUUAUAUACCUCAUCGCAAAUUGGAAAAGCAGGUCUGUGAUAUUUUGAUGUUGCUGUUGUGAUACAAGCAUUUAGACUGAGCGAUGGAGGGCAUGAGAGGCAAGCUGCCUUUACCACCAUCCUCACCCCAUCUGGAAACCUUCCUUCAUCUCUGAACACCUGCCUCCCACCUGGGUACAAAAAAGAAGGGGGGCAAGGGAGAAAAGACUCACUGAACAAACUACAAGUAGGCUGGCACCCUCUCUGCUGCUGCUCAGCUCACAUGCUAAGCAACAUGCCUUUUUCCCAGAAGUCAGUUGUAUGUCAAAUCCCUAAUUUUGCUCUUAAAGUUAUAAUGGUCAUCUUCAUUUACUUUCAAAUAAUACAACCCCCUGCUUGAUUUCCUUUCUUAAAAUUUUAGAGAUAGAAAUUUCUAAGAUCUGUAGAUCUCCUAAUUAUGCUAACUGAAGAAAUAUUCGGGUCACAAGGUUAGUUACUCACAGCUGCAGGCUCAGUUAAAUUUUGACCAGUUCUGGGUCUUCAAUAAUGUACAUUCACAGUAUUUAAUAAACUCCAUUAAAAUAAUCAUUUUGGGGGAUAGGUAGCCCACCCUUAGAGGCUUAUCCAGUUAAUAUAGACUUUAAAAGUAAUAAAGGCUUUUAAGAAAUAAUUGUAAUGAGAUGGGAAAUUUUAUUUACCAGAAUUCCAGGUGUCUGGAAGAAGCAAAAAACCAUGGCAGGGCUAUUCCCCAAGAAAGGAAGAGAGAGGAAGUGAGAUUAUACUUCCUGGGGGCUUGGUGGGAUACAUGAGCAACUGUACCUCCAUGUGAUUCCUCCUUAUCAUGCAUCCCACUCACCCAAGUGAAAUCCUGCAAAAUCGACUAGCUCACAAAAAUGCUGAGUAUGAGUAGACUUCACAUAGAAAUGAUCUACAGGUUGAAUUCUGGAUCCUGGUCUGACCGGUACAGAUCUAUACACUAGUGACACAUGUUGAUGAGAUUAUAAAAGUAGAAUGGAGCCACAAAGAUACAAACUACAAAAAUGAAAAGGCAGAUAGUAAAACUCAUGGAGAGUUUCUUAAUGAUGUGGAGUUAGGGAAUAAUAACUUAAAUAAGAAGCCUAAAGGAAAAAACUGAUGAAAUAGAUUAAUGAAAUGUAAAAAGUUACAGUUCAGCCAAAGACACAAUUUUUUUUAAAGAACAGACAAGUCACAGAUUAGGAAAAAGAUCUUUGCCAUACAUGUAACAAAGGAUUAGAACCCAGAAUAUAUAAAGAAUUCUUACAAAACAAAAAGAAUUAUCACUGCUGUUAUGGACAAAAUGCUUGUGCCUCCCCAGCAAAUUCAUACGUGGAAAUCCUAAUGCCCAAUGUGACAGUAUUAGGAGGUGAAGCCUUUAGACAGUGAUUAGGUCACAAGGGGGUAGUCCUUAUAAACAUAAUUGUAAAGGUCCUUUAAAAGGAACCUCAGAGCAGGAACUAGGGGCUCAGUCUGUUAAGCAUCUGACUCUUGAUUUUGGUUCAGGUCAUGAUCUCAGGGUUGUUAGAUGGAGCCCCAAUAAGGCUCCCCACUGGGCAUGCAUGGAGCUUUAUUAAGACUUUCUCUCUCUCCCUCUCUGUCAACCCCUUCCACCAUUUCCUUUAAAAUAAUAAUAAUAAAUAAAAGAGACCUCAGAGUGCUCCCUCUCUCUCCCUCCACCAAGUAAGGAUACCAGUAGUUGGCCAUCCGCAACCUGGAAUUGGACCCUCAACAGAACCCAAGCAUGUGGCACUCUGAACUCAGACUUCCAGCUUCCAGAACUCCAAGAAAUAAAUUUCCAUGGUUUAUAAGCCAUUCAGUCUAUGGUAUAUUUGCUACAGCAACCUGAACUAAGACAACAAAAAAAAAAAAAAAAAAAA
rnacentral:lncRNA from 1 species